ACGCACGCUGGCGGCGUGCUUAACACAUGCAAGUCGCACGGAAAGGCCCUGCUUUUGUGGGGUGCUCGAGUGGCGAACGGGUGAGUAACACGUGAGUAACCUGCCCUUGACUUUGGGAUAACUUCAGGAAACUGGGGCUAAUACCGGAUAGGAGCUCCUGCUGCAUGGUGGGGGUUGGAAAGUUUCGGCGGUUGGGGAUGGACUCGCGGCUUAUCAGCUUGUUGGUGGGGUAGUGGCUUACCAAGGCUUUGACGGGUAGCCGGCCUGAGAGGGUGACCGGCCACAUUGGGACUGAGAUACGGCCCAGACGCCUACGGGAGGCAGCAGUGGGGAAUAUUGCACAAUGGGCGGAAGCCUGAUGCAGCAACGCCGCGUGCGGGAUGACGGCCUUCGGGUUGUAAACCGCUUUCGCCUGUGACGAAGCGUGAGUGACGGUAAUGGGUAAAGAAGCACCGGCUAACUACGUG
rnacentral:rRNA from 1 species